GGCAUUGUGGCUCAGUGGUAGAGCACUCGCCUAGCAUGUGUGAGGCCCUGGGUUUGAUCCUCAGCACCA
rnacentral:tRNA from 1 species